rfam:Rhizoctonia solani 123E scf_354, whole genome shotgun sequence.
UCUCCUAUGGCGCAAUUGGUGGCGCGUCUGACUGUUAGCCUCGAUCGGAUGAGGUCAGCAAAUCAGAAGGUUGUUAGUUCGAGCCUAACUGGGAGAG